rnacentral:rRNA from 1 species
UGCAAGUCGAACGAGAAUCUGCUGAAGGAGGAUUCGUCCAACGGAUGUAGAGGAAAGUGGCGGACGGGUGAGUAACGCGUGAGGAACCUGCCUUGAAGAGGGGGACAACAGUUGGAAACGACUGCUAAUACCGCAUGAAGCAUAGGGGUCGCAUGAUCCUUAUGCCAAAGAUUUAUCGCUUCAAGAUGGCCUCGCGUCUGAUUAGCUGGUUGGCGGGGUAACGGCCCACCAAGGCGACGAUCAGUAGCCGGACUGAGAGGUUGAACGGCCACAUUGGGACUGAGAUACGGCCCAGACUCCUACGGGAGGCAGCAGUGGGGAAUAUUGGGCAAUGGGCGCAAGCCUGACCCAGCAACGCCGCGUGAAGGAAGAAGGCUUUCGGGUUGUAAACUUCUUUUAAGAGGGAAGAGCAGAAGACGGUACCUCUAGAAUAAGCCACGGCUAACUACGUGCCAGCAGCCGCGGUAAUACGUAGGUGGCAAGCGUUGUCCGGAUUUACUGGGUGUAAAGGGCGUGCAGCCGGGUCUGCAAGUCAGAUGUGAAAUCCAUGGGCUCAACCCAUGAACUGCAUUUGAAACUGUAGAUCUUGAGUGUCGGAGGGGCAAUCGGAAUUCCUAGUGUAGCGGUGAAAUGCGUAGAUAUUAGGAGGAACACCAGUGGCGAAGGCGGAUUGCUGGACGAUAACUGACGGUGAGGCGCGAAAGUGUGGGGAGCAAACAGGAUUAGAUACCCUGGUAGUCCACACUGUAAACGAUGAAUACUAGGUGUGCGGGGACUGACCCCCUGCGUGCCGCAGUAAACACAAUAAGUAUUCCACCUGGGGAGUACGAUCGCAGGGUUGAAACUCAAAGGAAUUGACGGGG